rnacentral:rRNA from 1 species
GGGCUCAAUUUCCUUGGAACAGGAGGUCAUGGAGGGUGAGAACCCCGUAUGUGGCUUGGGUGCCGUGGUCCUUGUGACGUAUCCUCUAAGAGUCGGGUUGUUUGGGAAUGCAGCUCAAAAUGGGUGGUAAAUUUCAUCUAAAGCUAAAUAUUGGUGAGAGACCGAUAGCAAACAAGUAGAGUGAUCGAAAGAUGAAAAGUACUUUGAAAAGAGAGUGAAACAGUACGUGAAAUUGUUGAAAGGGAAGCGUUUGGCAUCAGCCCAUGGCGGCGGUCGAACAUCUGGGCUUCUGCCCAGUGCACUCGGCAGUCGCCGGGCCAGCGUCGGUUCCACCUGCUGGAGAAAGGCCUUGGGGAAGUGGCACUCCCUUGUGGAGUGUGUUAUAACCCAUGGCGUCAUGCGGCUUGGUGGGACCGAGGUCCGCGGUUUUGUCCUAGGACGCUGGCGUAAUGGUUCCAAGCGACCCGUCUUGAAACACGGACCAAGGAGUCUAACAUCUAUGCGAGUGU